UCGGAAGUUCAAAUAUGUAGCAGUACAUUUGGGAGUUCUUGGGUAGUACGGCCUGCAUUUGCUCUGCAGAUGGGAAUUAUUGUGUCACCCAGAAAAGGCAUCUACUACAGUUGACACCCAGCAGUACCCCUGGGAGCGGGGAGGAGGGUCUGUAGAGUCUAUUUACCAGGACUGGCAGGUCCAGUGCACUGGACUGUGCGCCCUGGAGCUCCCUUCGUCACUUGACAGUGGAGCUGGAAUCAGGCACGUUAACCAGUCUUCCUUGGCCUCGUGUGUUGGCAUCGCCAGGCUUCGAUUUGUAGCUUGAAUUGCCAGGCCCCGUGUGAUGGUGCAUCCAGGUGGCUGUGGUCUUUACCUUGAUGAUGCAGAAUUGGUCAGCUUGUGGGUCCCACUGAUGUUCAUUGCCAAAGGGUCCUUGUCCAUGGACGUCCAUAUGGGUCAUGAACAGACGGCGUGAGUCUGGUGUAGUCUGCUGCCACAAUGUUUGUCCCUACAGGGGUUGGGACUUGAUCAUCCAGUUGUCCCAUUGUCAGGUGCCUGACUACACCAAUGGCCUAUUGCCUACCAGCUACAAGGUGGAAGUCAAAGAUCCGAUGCAGACUAAGCUGGGGCCAGAGCUCCAUGGAGUGUGGCCGUUUUUCCUGUAAGAAAAACUUCUGACGGGAGUUACAAAUCCAGCACACAGUGACGGCUUCUGCGUCAGAAACAGACUUCAGCUUGUGAGGGACAGCGCUUCUCUUCUUGACUGCCAGAGCUCUGGCACUGGGAAUCUGUCCAGGUCGUUCAAGACGCUCCUUGGCAAGCAGACCCCUGGGUUUUGUUGGGGUCUCGCAGCCGCCCCUGCUGGUGGAGGUGUGGUAACGCCAGGUUGUUAAGACUGAGGCUGCCGACCUGUCAACACGAAGACUUCAUCUACACAGUGAAAACUUGGUUCUUCAGAGAGCAGAGGCACUGCCACUGAAUUCUGACCCAACCACUGGUGGCACGUGGCAGGGGGGUUGUCCCACUGGCACUUUUUUACCUGUGGCUGUGCCCUGAGCCGUGGAACCUCCCCUACCUCGCGUGAGCAUUUACAGGACAAGCG
rnacentral:lncRNA from 1 species